CCUACGGGAGACAGCAGUGAGGAAUAUUGGUCAAUGGACGCAAGUCUGAACCAGCCAUGCCGCGUGCAGGAAGACGGCUCUAUGAGUUGUAAACUGCUUUUGUACGAGGGUAAACGCAGAUACGCGUAUCUGUCUGAAAGUAUCGUACGAAUAAGGAUCGGCUAACUCCGUGCCAGCAGCCGCGGUAAUACGGAGGAUUCAUGCGUUAUCCGGAUUUAUUGGGUUUAAAGGGUGCGUAGGCGGUCGGAUAAGUUAGAGGUGAAAUCCCGGGGCUCAACUUCGGAAUUGCCUCUGAUACUGGUCGGCUAGAGAGUAGUUGCGGUAGGCGGAAUGUAUGGUGUAGCGGUGAAAUGCUUAGAGAUCAUACAGAACACCGAUUGCGAAGGCAGCUUACCAAGCUACUUCUGACGUUGAGGCACGAAAGCGUGGGGAGCGAACAGGAUUAGAUACCCGUGUAGUC
rnacentral:rRNA from 1 species